rnacentral:rRNA from 1 species
GACGAACGCUGGCGGCGUGCUUAACACAUGCAAGUCGAACGGAGAAUUUUACUUCGGUGAAAUUCUUAGUGGCGAACGGGUGAGUAACGCGUAGACAACCUGCCUCUUAGAUGGGGACAACAUCGCGAAAGCGGUGCUAAUACCGAAUGAAGUGGAGCUUCCGCAUGGAAGCAUCACCAAAGGUGGCCUCUAUUUAUAAGCUACCACUGAGAGAUGGGUCUGCGUCUGAUUAGCUAGUUGGCGGGGUAAUGGCCCACCAAGGCGACGAUCAGUAGCCGGUCUGAGAGGAUGAACGGCCACAUUGGGACUGAGACACGGCCCAAACUCCUACGGGAGGCAGCAGUGGGGAAUCUUCCGCAAUGGACGAAAGUCUGACGGAGCAACGCCGCGUGAGUGAAGAAGGUUUUCGGAUCGUAAAGCUCUGUUGUUUGAGACGAAUGUGCAGACUUUGAAUAAGGGUUUGUAAUGACGGUAUUAAACGAGAAAGCCACGGCUAACUACGUGCCAGCCGCCGCGGUAA